rnacentral:rRNA from 1 species
AAACGAAUUAAUUGAAUUAAAAUAAAUUUGAGUAAAGCAAAAUUCAUUUUUUGUUUGAAUAAGGGAGAACCAUCUUCAAAACAAAUAAAUAUUUAAAAUAUAUCAAUAGAGAAUAGUACUGUGAAGGAAAGAUGAAAAAGAACCUUUAUAAUAUAUAUGGAGUGAAAUAGAACUUAAAAUUAAAUACAUAAAAGCGAUUGAAGUAACUUUAAAUAUGUUAUGACAAUGUACCUUUUGUAUAAUGGGUCAGCGAGUUAAUAUAAUUAGUAAUUUUAAAAUUAUUGAAAGAUUUUAAAAGAUAGCGAAAAGCGAGUUUUAAUUAAGCAUUAAUUAAUUAUAUAUUACCCGAAACGGAUGAUCUAAACAUGUUUAGAUUAAAUAAAAAAAUUUAUAAAUUUUAUAUAAUUAUUUAAUUAUAUAAAAUAGGUAUAUUAAUUAUAAUAGGAGUCAACUCGUGUAUGUUGU